rnacentral:rRNA from 1 species
AGUGAACGCUGGCGGUAUGCCUAACACAUGCAAGUCGAACGGCCGCACAGUAAGAGCUUGCCCUUACGGGUGGCGAGUGGCGGACGGGUGAGGCAUACAUCGGAAUCUACUUUUUCGUGGGGGAUAACGUAGGGAAACUUACACUAAUACCGCAUACUACCUACGGGUGAAAUCAGGAGAUCUUCGGACCUUGCGCGAUUGAUUGAGCCGAUGUCGGAUUAGCUAGUUGGCUGGGUAAAGGCCCACCAAGGCGACGAUCCGUAGCUGGUCUGAGAGGAUGAUCAGCCACACUGGAACUGAGACACGGUCCAGACUCCUACGGGAGGCAGCAGUGGGGAAUAUUGGACAAUGGGCGCAAGCCUGAUGCAGCCAUACCGCGUGGGUGAAGAAGGCCUUCGGGUUGUAAAGCCCUUUUGUUGGGAAAGAAAAGCAGCAGGUGAAUACCCGGCUGUUCUGACGGUACCCAAAGAAUAAGCACCGGCUAACUUCGUG